AAGUCGUAACAAGGUUUCCGUAGGUGAACCUGCGGAAGGAUCAUUAAUGAAUUGUAAAUGGGAGUUUGAUGCUGGCAAGGAGGAGACUCUUUUGCAUGUGCUUGCUUCUAACAAUUUUUAUCCAAACACCCGUGCACCUUUGAGGGGAGAGACUAAUCUUUAUGAGUUUCUCUCUUCAUUCUUAUUAUAUACACGCUGGUUUUAAUGUGGGGAAUGUGCUUGUGUCCCUUAAUUAAGGGCAUUGAAUAAAUACAACUUUUAACAAUGGAUCUCUUGGCUCUU
rnacentral:misc_RNA from 1 species